UGGAAGAGACCAGAUGAGUCUCAAGGCUUGAUCUUCAUCAUCAAUUUUAAUUCCAAUAGCUUCUAGCUCAGCGACAAUGCCAUUGAAAAUGCUUAAAUGAUCUGAAAUAGAUGUACCUUCACUCAUCCGUAGUGUAUGAAACUGCUUCUUCAGGUUCACACGAUUUGAGACGCCCUUCAUCUGAUACAACGCUUCAAGUUUUUCCCAGAGUUCCUUUGCCGUAGAUAUUCCAUGCACAUUUGCAAGAAUAUUUUUAGCCAGGCACAGACGUAUCGCACUUGUUGUUCUCAAAUCCAGAUCCUCCCAAUCUUCAUCGCUCAUUUUAGAUCUACUCAUUUCAUCAGUCACAUUAGUACCAGGGCUGACUUCAUGUAUUGGUCUGCCCUUCAAUGCCUUGUGUAAUCCUGAUUGAAUCAAGACAUCAUUGACUUGUACUUGCCACAAGUCAAAAUUGAUUCUCUCAUCAAAUUUCUCCACUUUAAAUUUGACAAGAUUUGAAGGCCUAUUCCUUGACAUUGCUUUGAUGAAUUUUACUGCAGAAAUGAAUAGUAUCUCACUAAGUCAAUUCUCAGGAAAAAUUGGAGGGUCUCAAUGGACACAAUUAAAAUUUUCAAUCUCCUAGACAGAACCUCCUUAGACUGUACAUAUCCACACUACUAUACCAAAAUUCUACCCCACAAAAAGAACCUAGUAGCUCUGAUACCAAUUGUUAGGAAUUUGGACCUCCCAAAUUCACCCCCUAGAAUCUACCCUUUGCAAGAAUAACAAAAAAAAUAGAGAAAUAAUAACAAUACAAGAAAUUUACGUUGAAACUCCAAAACAAGAUAAAAACCACUAGACCCAGAGAAAAAAAUUCACUAUAGGAAAAAUUAUUACAAUCACACAAUCUUUCUCCUCACUACACCUAUAAAGCUACCUCACUAGUAAAACUUAAACUUUACACAUCUUUCCCUUUUACAAAAUACUAAUAGAAGAAUUUAACUAAAAUCAAAAGUUACUAGAUAAAUUUUCAACUGAUGUACUUAAACUAAGGAGCCACCGGUGUGAGACUAAACUAAGAAGCCAAAAGUCAACAUAAACAUGACAAGGGCAAGGUUCAACCACCAGCACCAGCUUCUCCAAAGCUCAUAUUCCCUCGUUGGAUAAAAUGGGUUUUUGGAUACGGAGCAACUUUAUCGAUACCAACAUGGAAACAGGAUUGGAGGAAACUACUAAGGAUUGGAGGAGAGACCGAAAUGGUGGUUGAAGAGGUUGAAAGCGUGGCAGAGGUAGUAGAAAAGGUCGCAACUGUGGCAGAGAAGAUAUCAGCAGAGGUGGCAGACAAACUUCCCGAGAAUGGUAAACUCAAGGAAGCAGCUUUGUUUGUGGAACUUGUUUCAAAAGAGGCUGCCCAUGAUGCUCAUCUAACAAAAGAUUUCAUUCACAAGGUUGAUUCAUUGAAAGAAGACCUGGAGGCACUACUGGUUGAACCCAUGAUUGAUGAGAUUGCAAAGCAAGGAUCUCAAGGGAAGUAGUAAUGCAAUAUGGAAAUACUCCAAGCUAGGUUGGAUAUAAUGAUUCAUUCUAUUUUGAAACGUUUAAAGCACAGAAAUACAAGUCGUUUGACUUUAUUUUCUUUGAGCUUUUGUUCUUGCUACAUCUAGAAGAGAAUUUUUGAGGUGUUCGUCCGGGUCCAUCUCAGACCCGGAUUGAUUGUGAUGCAAUGCAAUUAUGGGCCUUUUAUUGUAGGCCUGAUUGAUAUGGCCCUUUUAUUGUGAUGCAAUGCAUUUAUAAGUUCGUGACUAAA